rnacentral:rRNA from 1 species
UAGGGAAUAUUGGGCAAUGGACGGAAGUCUGACCCAGCCAUGCCGCGUGCAGGAAGAAGGCGCUCAGCGUUGUAAACUGCUUUUAUCGGGGAAGAACGGCAGUCCUGCGGGAUUGUGUGACGGUACUCGAGGAAUAAGCACCGGCUAACUCCGUGCCAGCAGCCGCGGUAAUACGGAGGGUGCGAGCGUUGUCCGGAUUUAUUGGGUUUAAAGGGUGCGUAGGUGGUUGAGUAAGUCUGGUUUGAAAGUCAGUCGCUUAACGAUUGAGGGUGGCUGGAUACUGCUGAACUUGAAUGCCCUGGAGGUAGGUGGAACGGGUUGUGUAGCGGUGAAAUGCAUAGAUAUGACCCAGAACCCCAAUUGCGAAGGCAGCCUACUACGGGGUGAUUGACACUGAGGCACGAGAGCAUGGGGAGCAAACA